AUGAACAGCAUAACCAGCAAUGGCGCCGGUGAAGGUGUUUGGGCCGGCCAAGUCGGUGAAGGUGUGGCGCGGGUGCUGCUCUGCCUGGAGGAGGUCGGCGCCGAGUACGAGCUCGUCCACAUGGAUCUCUUCCAGGCCAAGGAGCAGAAGAGCCCGGAGCACCUCGCCAGAAACCCGUUUGGGCUCGUCCCGGCCUUACAAGACGGGGAUCUGGUCCUCUUCGAGGCCCGUGCGAUCGCGAAGUACGUGCUCCGCAAGUACAAGACGGAGCAGGCGGACCUGCUGAGGGAGGGCGACCCGGAGGAGGCCGCCAUGGUGGACGUGUGGACGGAGGUGGAGGCGCACCAGUACCGCCAGGCCCUGAGGCUCAUCAUGCUGGAGUGCUUCCUCAACCCCACUCUGCGCGGCCUCCCCACGAACCAGGCGGUUGUCGACGAGGCCGUGGAGAAGACGAAGAAGGUUCUUGAAAUCUACGAGGCGCGCCUGUCCGAGCACAGGUACCUCGCCGGAGACUUCUUCAGCUAAUUCGCGGAUCUCAACCAUUUCGCGAGCACUUUCUACAUCGUCGACGCGACGCCGUAUGGGUCGCUUCUCGACUCGUACCCUCGCGUGAAGGCCUGGUGGGAGGACCUCAUGUCCCGGCCCUCGUUCAAGAAGAUCAGCGCGCGCCAAUAUGACCACCAAGGUUUAGUCAUGACAGGUUUCGAAAGUCUUCCCCGGUCCGACAGAGCACGUACCUGUAAACGUUUUGCAGUCUUUUCUGUCAAGAAAUUCAAUAAAAGCAAUGUAUCCAACACAUCCUUAUACAAAUAUACAUUCCAAAAAAGUCAACAUCACACAAAAAGGUGCCCGCGUAGCUUCAUGGUGUGCAAGAGUACAACUAGAAGACUCCUAUGCUAG
rnacentral:rRNA from 1 species